AUUGAACGCUGGCGGCAGGCCUAACACAUGCAAGUCGAGCGGAUGAAGGGAGCUUGCUCCUGGAUUCAGCGGCGGACGGGUGAGUAAUGCCUAGGAAUCUGCCUGGUAGUGGGGGAUAACGUCCGGAAACGGGCGCUAAUACCGCAUACGUCCUGAGGGAGAAAGUGGGGGAUCUUCGGACCUCACGCUAUCAGAUGAGCCUAGGUCGGAUUAGCUAGUUGGUGGGGUAAAGGCCUACCAAGGCGACGAUCCGUAACUGGUCUGAGAGGAUGAUCAGUCACACUGGAACUGAGACACGGUCCAGACUCCUACGGGAGGCAGCAGUGGGGAAUAUUGGACAAUGGGCGAAAGCCUGAUCCAGCCAUGCCGCGUGUGUGAAGAUGGUCUUCGGAUUGUAAAGCACUUUAAGUUGGGAGGAAGGGCAGUGAGUUAAUACCUUGCUGUUUUGACGUUACCAACAGAAUAAGCACCGGCUAACUUCGUG
rnacentral:rRNA from 1 species